CAUAUACUCCCUCCGUUCCCAAGUUCUUGUCUUAGAUUUGUCUAGAUAUAAAUGUAUCUAGUCAUGUUUUAGUAUUUAGAUACAUCCAUUUGUAGACAAACUUACGACAAAAACUUUUGGAUGGAGGGAGUAUGCA
rnacentral:pre_miRNA from 1 species